rnacentral:rRNA from 1 species
GAUCCUCCCACCCUUUGUGUACCUACCUCUGUUGCUUUGGCGGGCCGCGGUUCUCCGCGGCCGCCCCCCUCCCCGGGGGGUGGCCAGCGCCCGCCAGAGGACCUUCAAAUUCCUGUCAGUAACCGUUGCAUUCUGAACAACAUUUAAUAAACUAAAACUUUCAACAACGGAUCUCUUGGUUCUGGCAUCUAUGAAGAACGCAGCGAAAUGCGAUAAGUAAUGUGAAUUGCAGAAUUCAGUGAAUCAUCGAAUCUUUGAACGCACAUUGCGCCCUUUGGUAUUCCGAAGGGCAUGCCUGUUCGAGCGUCAUUACAACCCUCAAGCUCUGCUUGGUAUUGGGCACCGUCCUUUGCGGGCGCGCCUCAAAGACCUCGGCGGUGGCGUCUUGCCUCAAGCGUAGUAGAACAUACAUCUCGCUUCGGAGCGCAGGGCGUCGCCCGCCGGACGAACCUUCUGAACUUUCUCAAGGUGACCUCGGAUCAGGUAGCUCCCGAGUUUGAACUUAAGCAUAUCAAUAA